rnacentral:rRNA from 1 species
AGUGAACGCUGGCGGUAGGCCUAACACAUGCAAGUCGAACGGCAGCACAGUAAGAGCUUGCUCUUACGGGUGGCGAGUGGAGGACGGGUGAGGAAUACAUCGGAAUCUACUUUUUCGUGGGGGAUAACGUAGGGAAACUUACGCUAAUACCGCAUACGACCUACGGGUGAAAGCAGGGGAUCUUCGGACCUUGCGCGAUUGAAUGAGCCGAUGUCGGAUUAGCUAGUUGGCGGGGUAAAGGCCCACCAAGGCGACGAUCCGUAGCUGGUCUGAGAGGAUGAUCAGCCACACUGGAACUGAGACACGGUCCAGACUCCUACGGGAGGCAGCAGUGGGGAAUAUUGGACAAUGUGCGCAAGCCUGAUCCAGCCAUACCGCGUGGGUGAAGAAGGCCUUCUGGUUGUAAAGCCCUUUUGUUGGGAAAGAAAAGCAGCAGGUUAAUACCCCGCUGUUCUGACGGUACCCAAAGAAUAAGCACCGGCUAACUUCGUG